AUGUCUGGGAAACUGCCUGAUGGAGGGGGAUAACUACUGGAAACGGUAGCUAAUACCGCAUAACGUCGCAAGACCAAAGAGGGGGACCUUCGGGCCUCUUGCCAUCGGAUGUGCCCAGAUGGGAUUAGCUAGUAGGUGGGGUAACGGCUCACCUAGGCGACGAUCCCUAGCUGGUCUGAGAGGAUGACCAGCCACACUGGAACUGAGACACGGUCCAG
rnacentral:rRNA from 1 species